UACGUAGGGUGCGAGCGUUAAUCGGAAUUACUGGGCGUAAAGCGUGCGCAGGCGGCUUUGCAAGACAGAUGUGAAAUCCCCGGGCUUAACCUGGGAACUGCAUUUGUGACUGCAUGGCUGGAGUGCGGCAGAGGGGGAUGGAAUUCCGCGUGUAGCAGUGAAAUGCGUAGAUAUGCGGAGGAACACCGAUGGCGAAGGCAGCCCCCUGGGCCAACACUGACGCUCAGGCACGAAAGCGUGGGGAGCAAACAGG
rnacentral:rRNA from 1 species